UUGAGAGUACGUACCUUGGCUUUCAGAAUUUAAAAAAAAAACAGAGAAGAUUAGCAUAGCCCCUGCGCAAGGAUGACACGCAAAUUCGUGGAGCAUUCCAUAUUUUA